AAAGAAGUAGGCAAAGGUAAAAGAAGGUAAUAAUUGGUAAAAUGGGUUAAAAAAAGUAUGUAAAAGAAGGUAAAAAAGUGGGUAAGAUAAGAUAAGACAUUAAAAGAAGGCAAAAUAAAGAAAGAAACAGGAAAAAGAAGGUAAAAGAA